rnacentral:rRNA from 1 species
GAAUUGAAUUUAGCGGCCGCGAAUUCGCCCUUAGAGUUUGAUCAUGGCUCAGAACGAACGCUGGCGGCGUGCCUAACACAUGCAAGUCGAGCGAGAAAGUCCCUUCGGGGAUGAGUACAGCGGCGGACGGUUGAGUAACACGUGAGAAUCAACCCUACAGUGAGGAAUACCCUCGAGAAAUCGAGGUUAAUACUGCAUACGUCCCUUCGGGGAGAAAGAUGGCCUCUUUGCUGUCGCUGUAGGACGAGCUUGCGGGCUAUCAGCUAGUUGGUGAGGUAAUGGCUCACCAAGGCUAUGACGGCUAGCCGGCCUGAGAGGGUGUACGGCCAGACUGGAACUUAGAUACGGUCCAGACUCCUACGGGAGGCAGCAGUGGGGAAUAUUGCGCAAUGGGCGAAAGCCUGACGCAGCGACGCCGCGUGGAGGAUGAAGGUCUUAGGAUUGUAAACUUCUGUUAAGUGGGAAAAAAGCUCUAUUUCUAAUACAGAUAGAGGAUGAUUGUACCAUUAGAGAAAGCACCGGCUAACUUCGUGCCAGCAGCCGCGGUAAUACGAAGGGUGCAAGCGUUAUUCGGAUUCAUUGGGCGUAAAGGGUGUGUAGGCGGUACAUUAAGUCUGUUGUUAAAUGCUUCGGCCUAACCGGAGACCUGCGAUGGAAACUGAUGUGCUAGAGGGUGGAAGAGAGAAGUGGAAUUCUCGGAGUAGCGGUAAAAUGCGUAGAUCUCGAGAGGAACACCAAUGGCGAAGGCAGCUUCUUGGUCCACAUCUGACGCUGAAACACGAAAGCGUGGGGAGCAAACAGGAUUAGAUACCCUGGUAGUCCACGCUGUAAACGAUGAUCACUGGACGUCAGUUUUGUUUUACAGAAUUGGUGUCGUAGCUAACG